rnacentral:rRNA from 1 species
CCUACGGGAGGCAGCAGUGGGGAAUCUUGCACAAUGGAGGAAACUCUGAUGCAGCGAUGCCGCGUGAGUGAAGAAGGCCUUUGGGUUGUAAAGCUCUUUUGUAGGGGAAGAUAAUGACUGUACCCUAAGAAUAAGGUCCGGCUAACUUCGUGCCAGCAGCCGCGGUAAUACGAAGGGACCUAGCGUAGUUCGGAAUUACUGGGCGUAAAGCGCGCGUAGGCCGUUGAGUUAGUUAAUUGUGAAAUCCCAAAGCUUAACUUUGGAACUGCAAUUAAAACUGCUCGACUAGAGUUUGAUAGAGGAAAGCGGAAUACAUAGUGUAGAGGUGAAAUUCGUAGAUAUUAUGUAGAACACCAGUUGCGAAGGCGGCUUUCUGGAUCAACACUGACGCUGAGGCGCGAAAGUAUGGGUAGCAAAGAGGAUUAGAUACCCUCGUAGUCCAUACCAUAAACGAUGAUUGCUAGAUGUUGGAAAUUUAUUUUCAGUAUCGCAGCUAACGCAUUAAGCAAUCCGCCUGGGGAGUACGACCGCAAGGUUAAAACUUAAAAUGAAAUUGACGG